GGAAGAAAUUAACUACUUGAUGAUCAGGAGCGUUUAGCCCCCAGGCCUUCUGACGCCUAAGGAUUGCUCACGUUACUUCAGCCAAUCAGAGAACUGUGCACGAGUGGAUUGCUUAUCCUGUAGCCCGCCUUCCUCACCGUGCCUUUCAAAAUACUUUGCUGAAACCUUCUGGAGAGUUGGGGGUUUGAGGGCAAGAAAGAAAGUGAAAGAAAGAAAGCGAAGUCGCUCAGUCAUGUCCAGUUGCUUAGUCGUGUCCGACUCUUUGCAACCCCGUGGACCAGGAUUCUCCAUCCAUGGGAUUUUCCAGGUGAGAAUACUGGAGUGGGUUACCAUUUCCUUCUUCAGGGGAUCUUCCAGACCCAAGGAUUGAACCUGUGUCUCCUGCAUUGGAGGCCUACGCUUUAACCUCUGAGCCACCAGGGAGCCACCCGUUUUCCUUGCAUGGCCUGCAGUAAGCCUUUCUCUGUUCCAAAUACCAACAUUUCGGUACUGUUUGGCCUCACUGUGCUGUCAGGCACAAGGAUUUGGCCUUUGGGAACAAGAGAAACAGAGGCCUGAGCCCCUUUCGAGAUUUCCCAGCUGAGCUGAUUGGCUGUGGCAUUAGUCCAUGUAACCAGGUACCCUUUCCAGGCAGAAGCAGCAGACCCAGAGUCACAGCCAAGCGCAAGCACGUACGUCUUUCACGGAGCACUGCGCUCUCUCAGAGCCGAGUCUCGCCUUGGAGGUUGAUGAUGCUCCGAAGUCACGGGGAGCUGGAGCCCAUCUCCACCGACAGCCGUCUGGCUUUUGGAUUCCAGUCACAUUCUUCACCAGCCGAAGGGAGUGCGCAAGGUUGGAUUCUUUACCACUGUGCCACCUGGGAAGCCCUGAUAAUAAUGGCCUGGUUCCAUGCUAGAGAGAUAUGUAGCCUCACUUGUCUGGCAGCUUAUCCAAGGAGACUUCCUUUUCUCUGGUUCCCUGUGGAGUGCAUAUUAAGCCAUUGGAGAGAGAAGAGUGGACAAAUGUGGCUUCCAGGGAAGUUAGAAUCACAACUGAGCAAACAGAAGAAGGAAGUGUGCCCAAAUUAGCUUGCUUUGGACAAGACUUAGAAAAUACACAAGAAAACACCACAUCCACACCUUGAUGGAGUAGGAAUUUCUAAGGAAGAUCUAGAAAAAUCAAGACUGUCUUUGCAGGCAUAAAUUUGAUCUGAUUUGAUAGUACAUUUGGUGGCAAACCUCUGCAGUUUUCCUGGCUUGUACGCAUCACACAAGAGCACAUAUUCAUUAAUGCAAAUGCAUAUUUAAUUGUCCUUAAAAUGAAAUUAUAUAGCAUUUAGAAAUGAAUAAAUGCAUAGCCAUU
rnacentral:lncRNA from 1 species